rnacentral:rRNA from 1 species
GAUGAACGCUGGCGGCGUGCCUAAUACAUGCAAGUCGAGCGAACAGACGAGGAGCUUGCUCCUCUGACGUUAGCGGCGGAAGGGUGAGUAACACGUGGAUAACCUACCUAUAAGACUGGGAUAACUUCGGGAAACCGGAGCUAAUACCGGAUAAUAUAUUGAACCGCAUGGUUCAAUAGUGAAAGACGGUUUUGCUGUCACUUAUAGUUGGAUCCGCGCUGCAUUAGCUAGUUGGUAAGGUAACGGCUUACCAAGGCAACGAUGCGUAGCCGACCUGAGAGGGUGAUCGGCCACACUGGGACUGAGACACGGUCCAGACUCCUACGGGAGGCAGCAGUAGGGAAUCUUCCGCGAUGUGCGAAAGCCUGACGGAGCAACGCCGCGUGAGUGAUGAAGGUCUUCGGAUUGUAAAACUCUGUUAUUAGGGAAGAACAAAUGUGUAAGUAACUAUGCACGUCUUGACGGUACCUAAUCAGAAAGCCACGGCUAACUACGUG